UACGAAGGGGGCUAGCGUUGCUCGGAAUCACUGGGCGUAAAGGGUGCGUAGGCGGGUCUUUAAGUCAGGGGUGAAAUCCUGGAGCUCAACUCCAGAACUGCCUUUGAUACUGAAGAUCUUGAGUUCGGGAGAGGUGAGUGGAACUGCGAGUGUAGAGGUGAAAUUCGUAGAUAUUCGCAAGAACACCAGUGGCGAAGGCGGCUCACUGGCCCGAUACUGACGCUGAGGAGCGAAAGCUAGGGGAGCAAACAGG
rnacentral:rRNA from 1 species